UACAGAGGGGGCAAGCGUUGUUCGGAAUUACUGGGCGUAAAGGGCGCGUAGGCGGCCUGCUAAGUCGAACGUGAAAUCCCUGGGCUCAACCCAGGAACUGCGUCCGAUACUGGUUGGCUUGAAUCCGGGAGAGGGGUGUGGAAUUCCAGGUGUAGCGGUGAAAUGCGUAGAUAUCUGGAGGAACACCGGUGGCGAAGGCGACAUCCUGGACCGGUAUUGACGCUGAGGCGCGAAAGCGUGGGGAGCGAACAGG
rnacentral:rRNA from 1 species